UGAACGGCUGGCGGCGUGCCUAACACAUGCAAGUCGAACGGAAACUAAGCGCUUCGGAGACUUCGGUCAAUGUUGCUGGUUUAGUGGCGGACGGGUGAGUAACGCGUGGAUAACCUGCCUCAUACAGGGGGAUAACAGUUAGAAAUGACUGCUAAUACCGCAUAAGCGCACAGUUUCGCAUGGAACAGUGUGAAAAACUCCGGUGGUAUGAGAUGGAUCCGCGUCUGAUUAGCUAGUUGGCGGGGUAACAGCCCACCAAGGCGACGAUCAGUAGCCGGCCUGAGAGGGUGAACGGCCACAUUGGGACUGAGACACGGCCCAAACUCCUACGGGAGGCAGCAGUGGGGGAUAUUGCACAAUGGGGGAAACCCUGAUGCAGCGAACCGCCGCGUGAGUGAAGAAGUAUUUCGGUAUGUAAAGCUCUAUCAGCAGGGAAGAUAAUGACGGUACCUGACUAAGAAGCACCGGCUAAAUACGUGCCAGCAGCUGC
rnacentral:rRNA from 1 species